AGCAUGUUCGUCCUUUACAGUGAGUACUCACCAUAUCAACAAGUGGUUUAAACGUCAGCCAACCCUAGCCCUUUCAUCACUCCAAAUAGAGUUCAGCUAACAGAGGGCACAGUGUGACCCAUGUAUUUCCCUUUACAUUCCAUCAUGUGCAUCUCUUUCCCUUCCCAUAACUACUUCUGUGGACCCUUCCCCAUGCCCCCUUUCCUUUCACUGUCUAUGCCCACUUUGUG